CCUAAGUGGGAGAUUAACAGCGGUGCUGAAUAAAUAGGGCACAGGUUUCACGAGAGGCACUCGCCUAUCUUGCUGGGACCACUCGUGGGGAUUUCUUGUCUCUUGUCCCUCCUGCACCGUGUUGCAGAACGUUACAGCCACGGUGGCGUACUGCUCUUCCGGGAUUGUAACACAGCCGUGUAGUUGUUGGCUCCUCAACAUUGUGAGCGUGUACUUGUUGACCUCGCAUUCAGGGUCUGUGGCGUUUCGUGGGGUUGCUGUUCGGUUCCCCUUGCCUGUGCGGCCCAAUAUCCCAGCUGUCGUGAGCUUCUCUCCUCGUCUUCCUGGCCUGCUCGUCCAAUCUCUGCUAGCUGUCAAGUUGGACUACUUGCUCGAGGCUUCUGCUCGGGGUGCCUGCGUGUGUAUUUGAAUGCUAGUGCAUGUCGUGGUGUUUGGGUGCUUCUCGUUGUUUUGUCGUUUUGUUUGUAUGUUUGUAUGCUAGAAUAAGCGUUGGUGGCUCUGUCGCUUGCUGGCUUCCUCCCCUGCUUGUGGCUAAAUGUAUCCCGCUCUAGUUGUGUAAUUCCCUUUUUUUUUUUAAUGCGUGUGCAGUGUUAUUUUCAUAGUUUGGUUAAGUUUAUAUCUUGUGAUUUGCAGUGAAAAAAGCAUGUUUUGUUUUUGUACAGGGAUUUUUCACCAAGGAAGUAGGGCAUUCGUCGGGGUAAGCAAGGUAGCUUGAAUAGGAAGUCACCUUGCAUACUUGUGGAUCCAUGAAUUGCUAUACUCUGUGUAUUUGAAGGUAGACAAAUAAAUUAUCUUUUGUAUCAGAU
ensembl:lncRNA uncharacterized LOC115538763